rnacentral:rRNA from 1 species
UACGUAGGUGGCAAGCGUUAUCCGGAUUUAUUGGGCGUAAAGAAAACGCAGGCGGUCUUUUAAGUCUGAUGUGAAAGCCUUCGGCUUAACCGGAGUAGUGCAUUGGAAACUGGGAGACUUGAGUGCAGAAGAGGAGAGUGGAACUCCAUGUGUAGCGGUGAAAUGCGUAGAUAUAUGGAAGAACACCAGUGGCGAAAGCGGCUCUCUGGUCUGUAACUGACGCUGAGAUUCGAAAGCGUGGGUAGCAAACAGG